rnacentral:rRNA from 1 species
AGAGUUUGACUCUGGCUCAGGAUGAACGCUAGCGAUAGGCUUAACACAUGCAAGUCGAGGGGCAGCGAGAUGUAGCAAUACGUCGUCGGCGACCGGCGAAUGGGUGAGUAACACGUAUGCAACUUACCUCUUAGUGGUGAAUAACCCGAUGAAAGUCGGACUAAUACACCAUACUCUCCUUAGAUCACAUGAGAAGAGGAGGAAAGAUUAAUCGCUAAGAGAUAGGCCUGCGUUCCAUUAGCUCGUUGGUAAGGUAACGGCUUACCAAGGCAACGAUGGAUAGGGGGACUGAGAGGUUGACCCCCCACAUUGACACUGAGAUACGGGUCAAACUCCUACGGGAGGCAGCAGUGAGGAAUAUUGGUCAAUGGGCGAGAGCCUGAACCAGCCAAGUCGCGUGAAGGAAGACUGCCCGCAAGGGUUGUAAACUUCUUUUGUAUGGGAUUAAAGUCACCUACGUGUAGGUGUUUGCAGUUACCAUACGAAUAAGCAUCGGCUAACUCCGUGCCAGCAGCCGCGGUAAUACGGAGGAUGCGAGCGUUAUCCGGAAUUAUUGGGUUUAAAGGGUGCGUAGGUUGCAAGGGAAGUCAGGGGUGAAAAGCUGUAGCUCAACUAUGGUCUUGCCUUUGAAACUCUCUAGCUAGAGUGUACUGGAGGUACGUGGAACGUGUGGUGUAGCGGUGAAAUGCAUAGAUAUCACACAGAACUCCGAUUGCGCAGGCAGCGUACUACAUUACAACUGACACUGAAGCACGAAAGCGUGGGUAUCAAACAGGAUUAGAUACCCUGGUAGUCCACGCAGUAAACGAUGAAUACUAGAUCUAUGCGAUAUACAGUAUGGGUCUAAGCGAAAGCGAUAAGUAUUCCACCUGGGGAGUACGCCGGCAACGGUGAAACUCAAAGGAAU